rnacentral:rRNA from 1 species
CUACGGGUGGCAGCAGUGGGGAAUAUUGCACAAUGGGGGAAACCCUGAUGCAGCAACGCCGCGUGGAGGAUGACACAUUUCGGUGCGUAAACUCCUUUUAUAUAAGAAGAUAAUGACGGUAUUAUAUGAAUAAGCUCCGGCUAACUCCGUGCCAGCAGCCGCGGUAAUACGGGGGGAGCAAGCGUUACUCGGAAUCACUGGGCGUAAAGAGCAUGUAGGCGGGUAAAAAAGUUGGAAGUGAAAUCCACUGGCUUAACCAGUGAACUGCUUCCAAAACUCUUUACCUAGAAUAUGGGAGAGGUAGAUGGAAUUUCUGGUGUAGGGGUAAAAUACGUAGAGAUCAGAAGGAAUACCGAUUGCGAAGGCGAUCUACUGGAACAUUAUUGACGCUGAGAUGCGAAAGCGUGGGGAGCAAACAGGAUUAGAUACCCUGGUAGUC